GAUGAACGCUGGCGGCGUGCCUAAUACAUGCAAGUCGAGCGAACAGACGAGGAGCUUGCUCCUCUGACGUUAGCGGCGGACGGGUGAGUAACACGUGGAUAACCUACCUAUAAGACUGGGAUAACUUCGGGAAACCGGAGCUAAUACCGGAUAACAUGUUGAACCGCAUGGUUCAACAGUGAAAGACGGUCUUGCUGUCACUUAUAGAUGGAUCCGCGCCGCAUUAGCUAGUUGGUAAGGUAACGGCUUACCUAGGCAACGAUGCGUAGCCGACCUGAGAGGGUGAUCGGCCACACUGGAACUGAGACACGGUCCAGACUCCUACGGGAGGCAGCAGUAGGGAAUCUUCCGCAAUGGGCGAAAGCCUGACGGAGCAACGCCGCGUGAGUGAAGAAGGUCUUCGGAUCGUAAAACUCUGUUAUUAGGGAAGAACAAAUGUGUAAGUAACUAUGCACGUCUUGACGGUACCUAAUCAGAAAGCCACGGCUAACUACGUG
rnacentral:rRNA from 1 species